rnacentral:rRNA from 1 species
UAAUACGUAGGGGGCUAGCGUUAUCCGGAAUUAUUGGGCGUAAAGGGUGCGUAGGCGGUCCUACAAGUCAGAGGUGAAAGGCUACGGCUCAACCGUAGUAAGCCUUUGAAACUGUAGGACUUGAGUGCAGGAGAGGAGAGUGGAAUUCCCAGUGUAGCGGUGAAAUGCGUAGAUAUUGGGAGGAACACCAGUUGCGAAGGCGGCUCUCUGGACUGUAACUGACGCUGAGGCACGAAAGCGUGGGGAGCGAACAGGAUUAGAUACCCUGGUAGUCCACGCCGUAAACGAUGAGUACUAGGUGUCGGGGGUUACCCCCCUCGGUGCCGCAGCUAACGCAUUAAGUACUCCGCCUGGGAAGUACGCUCGCAAGAGUG